rnacentral:rRNA from 1 species
GAUGAACGCUAGCGGCAGGCUUAAUACAUGCAAGUCGAACGGCAAGUUGAGUAGCAAUACUUGACCUAGAGUGACGUACGGGUGCGUAACACGUAUGCAACCUACCCUUUACAGGCGGAUAGCUCGGGGAAACCCGAAUUAACCCGCCGUGGUAUCAUUGAAUGGCAUCAUUUGAUGAUUAAAACUCCGGUGGUAAAGAU